rnacentral:rRNA from 1 species
UACGGGGGGUGCAAGCGUUGUCCGGAAUCAUUGGGCGUAAAGCGUUCGUAGGCGGCACAGCAAGUCUGAUGUUAAAUCCCGGGGCUCAACUCCGGUCAGGCAUUGGAUACUGUUGAGCUAGAAUGUGGUAGAGUUUAAGGGAAUUCCUGGUGUAGCGGUGAAAUGCGCAGAUAUCAGGAGGAACACCGGUGGCGUAAGCGCUUAACUGGGCCAAAAUUGACGCUGAGGAACGAAAGCCGGGGGAGCAAAU